rnacentral:sRNA from 2 species
CGACUAAGGUUCGAUUCGAGCGCAGCGAGAAAGCGUUGCCGCAGGCAACGACCCGAAGGGCGAAGCGCGCAGCGCUGAGUCAUCCUUCCCCCACCACCA